rnacentral:rRNA from 1 species
GAUGAACGCUAGCUACAGGCUUAACACAUGCAAGUCGAGGGGAAACGGCAUUUAGUGCUUGCACCGAAUGGACGUCGACCGGCGCACGGGCGAGUAACGCGUAUCCAACCUACCCAUUACUGUGGGAUAACCUGCCGAAAGGCAGACUAAUACCGCAUAGUCUUCGAUGACGGCAUCAGAUUUGAAGUAAAGAUUUAUCGGUAAUGGAUGGGGAUGCGUCUGAUUAGCUUGUUGGCGGGGUAACGGCCCACCAAGGCAACGAUCAGUAGGGGUUCUGAGAGGAAGGUCCCCCACAUUGGAACUGAGAUACGGUCCAAACUCCUACGGGAGGCAGCAGUGAGGAAUAUUGGUCAAUGGGCGCGAGCCUGAACCAGCCAAGUAGCGUGCAGGAUGACGGCCCUAUGGGUUGUAAACUGCUUUUGUAUGGGGAUAAAGUCAAUCACGUGUGAUUGUUUGCAGGUACCAUACGAAUAAGGACCGGCUAAUUCCGUGCCAGCAGCCGCGGUAAUACGGAAGGUCCGGGCGUUAUCCGGAUUUAUUGGGUUUAAAGGGAGCGUAGGCCGGAGAUUAAGUGUGUUGUGAAAUGUAGACGCUCAACGUCUGACUUGCAGCGCAUACUGGUUUCCUUGAGUACGCACAACGUUGGCGGAAUUCGUCGUGUAGCGGUGAAAUGCUUAGAUAUGACGAAGAACUCCGAUUGCGAAGGCAGCUGACGGGAGCGCAACUGACGCUUAAGCUCGAAGGUGCGGGUAUCGAACAGG